AUGUUCUCGUCGCACUCAGCGAGCCGCAUCAACAACAUCCGCACCUCCCUCAUCAACACGCAUAAGGGUAAUCCCUCGGUUGCCUCUUACUUUUCUGCUAUGCGAGGAUAUGCAGAUGAACUAGCCGCGGCAGGCAAGGCCAUCCAGGAUGACGAACUAGUCUCCUACAUCAUCCACAGACUCGACGCCGAUUACCAGCCUCUGGUGUCUGCUCUCGACGCUCGAGUCACCCCCGUCACACUCGAUGAACUCUACACCAUGCUCUCAAACUUCGACCAGCGUGUGGCUCAUUACCACGGGUCUGGCGGC
rnacentral:rRNA from 1 species